CCUACGGGAGGCAGCAGUGAGGAAUAUUGGUCAAUGGCCGGAAGGCUGAACCAGCCAAGUCGCGUGAGGGAUGACGGCCCUACGGGUUGUAAACCUCUUUUGCCGGGGAGCAACGGGCGCCACGUGUGGCGCCACUGCGAGUACCCGGAGAAAACGCAUCGGCUAACUCCGUGCCAGCGGCCGCGGUAAUACGGAGGAUGCGGGCGUUAUCCGGAUUUAUUGGGGUUAAAGGGGGAGUAGGCGAAUCGUGAAGUCAGUGGUCAACAUGAGGGUCUCACCCCCUUUCCGCCAGUGAAACUGGCGAUCUUGAGUGGAAGAGAAGUAUGCGGAAUGCGUGGUGUAGCGGUGAAAUGCAUAGAUAUCACGCAGAACCCCGAUUGCGAAGGCAGCAUGCCGGCUUCCGACUGACGCUGAAGCACGAAAGCGUGGGGAUCGAACAGGAUUAGAUACCCGGGUAGUC
rnacentral:rRNA from 1 species